UUUAAUUCGAUGAUACGCGAGGAACCUUACCAAGGCUUAAAUGCAGACUGACCGAUUUGGAAACAGAUCUUUCGCAAGACAGUUUACAAGGUGCUGCAUGGUUGUCGUCAGCUCGUGCCGUGAGGUGUCAGGUUAAGUCCUAUAACGAGCGCAACCCCUGUUGUUAGUUGCCAGCGAGUAGUGUCGGGAAUUCUAACAAGACUGCCAGUGCAAACUGUGAGGAAGGUGGGGAUGACGUCAAAUCAUCACGGCCCUUACGCCUUGGGCUACACACGUGCUACAAUGGCCGGUACAGAGAGCAGCCACUGGGUGACCAGGAGCGAAUCUAUAAAGCCGGUCACAGUUCGGAUCGGAGUCUGUAACUCGACUCCGUGAAGCUGGAAUCGCUAGUAAUCGGAUAUCAGCCAUGAUC
rnacentral:rRNA from 1 species